rnacentral:rRNA from 1 species
UGGGGAAUCUUGGACAAUGGGCGCAAGCCUGAUCCAGCCAUGCCGCGUGAGCGAUGAAGGCCUUAGGGUUGUAAAGCUCUUUCACCGGUGAAGAUAAUGACGGUAGCCGGAGAAGAAGUCCCGGCUAACUCCGUGCCAGCAGCCGCGGUAAUACGGAGGGGACUAGCGUUGUUCGGAAUUACUGGGCGUAAAGAGUUCGUAGGCGGACUAGCAAGUUAGAGGUGAAAUCCCAGGGCUCAACCUUGGAACUGCCUUUAAAACUGCUAGUCUAGAGACCGGAAGAGGUUAGGGGAAUACCUAGUGUAGAGGUGAAAUUCGUAGAUAUUAGGUGGAACACCAGUGGCGAAGGCGCCUAACUGGUCCGGUACUGACGCUGAGGAACGAAAGCGUGGGGAGCAAACAGGAUUAGAUACCC